CUUCUCUUCUGUUGCGGUGAAAGCACGUGCACGUGUAGCGGCAGAGAGACUUAAAAAACCACGUGCGUGAAGCUUCAUUGACGGAUUUUAAGAGCCUGGACCGGAUGCAUCUUUAUAAGGUAAUGGAAACGCUGCUGGAUCGCCACAGUUGGGAACUUCCAGUGUAAAAGGAUUAAUUUUAAUGUUUAUACUGAAAUAAGUUGUGACUGUUUAAUCUUUGAAACAAAGGUCAACAUCUUUACUUCAAAUGAACUGAAAUCUACGGAUAAAUAAAGUUACAUGUGUUAAA